rnacentral:lncRNA from 1 species
UGAAGAGUCCGUGCAACUUAUCUUCAAACAUAAAUGUACUACAAACUUCAUAUAUACACUAAACAUCUUUAUUGCUCGAAGUAGGAAACAUAAUAACUUUAUUAAACACACUAAUCACAAACAAAAUACACUCAAAACUCAAACAUUAACACAACAUUAACCACUACUUAGGCCAUAGGGUCUAAUACAUAAAAACACACAUUAAUUAGCUUAUAAACACAAGUAAAAUACUUAAUGAGAACCAAUUACUAAAUGACAAGAUUAGCAUAAUCUAACUUGCCUUUGAUAUUAUUAUUUUUUUAACUAUAAAUAUAUAGUAAUUUCUAUAUAUAGAGUCCAUCAAGAGACUCAAAUGCCAAAGGAUAAAGAAGUUGCCCUUAAUUUCAUGAAGAAAAUGGUAAUCACCUUACACCAUGGGACUAAUCAAGAUUAAUAUUAAUUAAUCAUGACUAUUAAUCAAGAUUAAUCUUCAUAAUCUGACGAUCCCAGUCUUUUUUGUUUGCGCAGUAGUUCUUCCUCUUCCUCCAUCGAACGAAAAUUACUAUAUAUUAAGAAAAUUACACUUAGAGAGUACUUUGAUUAACUUAUAAUAAGGAGGGAAUUAAUAUUUGGUGAUGUUCAUGAAGACAAAUAUAUAAAGAGUGAAAUGAAGGUGACUUAAUUAGUAGCUAGGGAGAAUAUAAUUAAUGUGAUCACUUUUAGGUAAAGUACAAAUAAAAAUGAACCAACAUGGGUUGUGGACCUGUGGUGCAGUGGUGAGACUAUUUUAUCCUUAACAAGAGGUCUCGGAUUCGAGCCCUGAGUAUAGAGAAAAUCUUGUUGGGAACGUCACUCCCAGAAUGAGCCCUGCAGUGCGCAAUCCGAAUUAAUCGUGACGAACACUAGGUGGGACACCAAAAAAAAUGAAGGUACCUUAUUAGGGAUAUGCCAUUGGUACCUCUUACAAUAUCAGAAAUUGCUUUAGGUCAUAUAUUUAAAUUAUAACUGCGUCAUUCUAGAAUUAUUUUUAAAAUUUUGUUAUAUAAAUUUCUGAUCUCGUUACUAGCUAUAUAUAUACCUGUACAUAUCUUUAUCUAAAUGUUGAAUAGAAUUGGAAAAAAAGCAGUACACUAUAU